rnacentral:tRNA from 1 species
GUUCCCAUGAUGUAACGGCUAGCAUACGGAGCUUAUUCCUCCGUCGCGGGGGUUCGAUUCCCUCUGGGAACA